rnacentral:rRNA from 1 species
UACGUAGGGUGCGAGCGUUGUCCGGAAUUACUGGGCGUAAAGAGCUCGUAGGCGGUUUGUUGCGUCGGCUGUGAAAUCCCGAGGCUCAACCUCGGGUCUGCAGUCGAUACGAGCAAACUAGAGUGUUGCAGGGGAGACUGGAAUUCCUGGUGUAGCGGUGAAAUGCGCAGAUAUCAGGAGGAACACCGGUGGCGAAGGCGACUUACUGGACACAUAUUGACGCUGAGGUGCGAAAGCGUGGGGAGCAAACAGG